UACGUAGGGGGCAAGCGUUGUCCGGAUUUAUUGGGCGUAAAGCGCGCGUAGGCGGCGCGGUAUGUCGUGCGUGAAAUCUCCCGGCUUAACUGGGAGGGGCCGUGCGAAACUGCCGGGCUUGUGGUCGGAAGGGGAAAGUGGAAUUCCGGGUGUAGUGGUGGAAUACGUAGAUAUCCGGAGGAACACCAGCGGCGAAGGCGGCUUUCUGGUCCGAUACUGACGCUGAGGUGCGAAAGCGUGGGGAGCGAUCCGG
rnacentral:rRNA from 1 species